rnacentral:lncRNA from 1 species
GAUAGAGUCUGGUGGGGAUUAAAUCUGAGAACAAGGACAAGCAUCAAAUACAGUUCUCUGACAUAUAAUAGGCAUGUGGUAAUCAACACCAGGAGCUACUCCAAGUCAUAAGCGGCUUCCAUGGUGCUGCAGAGGCUGCCUCCAGAAAGUCCUGAAAGAACGAUAUUCUUAGUGUUGGAAUCCCAAUUGUACCAGUGAGACAGCUGAACCUGAAUGAUCAAUGCAGAGACUCUGAUAGUAA